AGAGGCAACGUGUUUGUGCGGCGUGAGGGAGCCUGGGCACUGCCUGCCACCAGGCAGAGGUGAUAAAGGGAGGUUUUUACACUGUAAUAAUUAGAGGGGAGAAAGAAGUGUCUUCUGCUAGGAACGGCAAGAGGGAAUUCACAGCUGUCCACCGGUGACAGUGCUGGGAAGAGACACCUUCCCUGACUACAGGCUGCCCCAGAGCAGCCACCUCCAGCCCAGCCUGGCUCCUCCAAGGAGAACCUGGCACUUCCACAGGGGCUGGGCCACCACCACAGAAUGUGACAGUGUAUUUAGGGAGGGAAGAGACCCUUGUGAAACCAGGAAGAAAGAAUAAAUGGCUCAUGGCAUGGGAGUCCAGUUCUCCCAGGGUCGCUGAAUGGCUGGGUGGUGAAUGUGAUGGACUUGACACACCAUGAAAUACACAAUCUUCUCGUUCAGGUUUUAUACACCGUUCCAAGUGAAGCUGUGACCCCCCUGGAAGUGACGCCCAGCUCUGGACUGUCUACACAGGAUGCUCAGGAUGCCCAGCGCUGUGAAGAUCUGACACCUGGCUGCAAGAGACAGUCACUCACUUCUAGGACAACCGGGCUCUUUGCUAAGGUACUGGAAGGUAGAUGGUUUGGACACGUGUGUGCACCGGCACGUUCAUGCACACACAGGGACAGAAUCAGACCCACAACCCGACAAGGGACAUGCCUAUGAAACCCUCACCCUGCAGCUGGAAGAGUAAUUUUGCAUGGCUGUCAUCCUGAUCAAACACCACCGAAGCCUUUCCGUGCUGGAGGAGAGUCUGCCCACACGUCGAGAUGAGCUGUACGGACCUGUCAGUGCUGGGCAAGUGGCAAACCAAGGCUGAAUUCUUGGCAAACCAGCAACCAACGGCCCGUGGAGCAUCUGCAGCGCUGCCUGUGGGACCGCAGUCCCACCACCAGCAGUCCUGGGGAUCAGUCUGGCAGAAGCAAGCAACGUGGCAAAUCUUCCAAGAGCCAAGAAAAGGAAGUGAGACCUACGAGACCAGGCUAUCAGCAGGUUAC